GAGUAAUACAUAAGUAACCUGCCCUAGACAGGGGGAUAACUAUUGGAAACGAUAGCUAAGACCGCAUAGGUACGGACACUGCAUGGUGACCGUAUUAAAAGUGCCUCAAAGCACUGGUAGAGGAUGGACUUAUGGCGCAUUAGCUGGUUGGCGGGGUAACGGCCCACCAUGGCGACGAUCGGUAGCCGGACUGAGAGGUUGAACGGCCACAUUGGGACUGAGACACGGUCCAGACUCCUACGGGAGGCAGCAUG
rnacentral:rRNA from 1 species